rnacentral:rRNA from 1 species
GAGUAGCAAUACUCGAGAGUGGCGAACGGGUGAGUAAUAUAUCGGAACGUGCCCAGUCGUGGGGGAUAACGUAGAGAAAUUUACGCUAAUACCGCAUACGAUCUAAGGAUGAAAGCGGGGGACUCGCAAGAGCCUCGCGCGAUUGGAGCGGCUGAUAUCAGAUUAGGUUGUUGGUGAGGUAAAAGCUCACCAAGCCGACGAUCUGUAGCUGGUUUGAGAGAACGACCAGCCACACUGGGACUGAGACACGGCCCAGACUCCUACGGGAGGCAGCAGUGGGGAAUUUUGGACAAUGGGCGAAAGCCUGAUCCAGCAAUGCCGCGUGUGGGAAGAAGGCCUUCGGGUUGUAUACCACUUUUGUACGGAACGAAACGGUCUGCCUUAAUACGGUGGGCUAAUGACGGUACCGUAAGAAUAAGCACCGGCUAACUACGUGCCAGCAGCCGCGGUAAUACGUAGGGUGCGAGCGUUAAUCGGAAUUACUGGGCGUAAAGCGUGCGCAGGCGGUUAUAUAAGACAGUUGUGAAAUCCCCGGGCUCAACCUGGGAAUUGCAUUUGUGACUGUAUAGCUAGAGUACGGUAGAGGGGGAUGGAAUUCCGCGUGUAGCAGUGAAAUGCGUAGAUAUGCGGAGGAACACCGAUGGCGAAGGCAAUCCCCUGGACCUGUACUGACGCUCAUGCACGAAAGCGUGGGGAGCAAACAGAAUUAGAUACCCUGAU